rnacentral:lncRNA from 1 species
GGAGCGAGAGGUGGCCCCACGCUAGGUCCAGGACUUUGGGCGGGGAGGAAGCUGGGUUGGCGGCGUCCGUGCGGGGGCGUCGGAGCGGGAGGGCCAGAGACCAAAUCAAGGGCCCGGAGGUAACUGUGAGUCCAGGGCUCUGGUGGGAGUUGGGUGAUCGCCUAGUCCCUUUGAUUGGACUGUGUCCGCUCUCCUGGAAACUUGAGACAGACCCCCACCGUGAUACAGGAAAGCAUAGUACCUUUCUGUCUGAAGAGUGUUCUACUUUAAUUGACCUUGCUGUAUGUGGUGGUUUCAAUAGGAGAACAUGCAAACUAGAGAGCGGGGCAGACAUGUAAAUAUCUCCUUAAUCAGAGCUGGACUGCUGGGGUGCCUGUGCUUUUGGUCUUUGGGAACAUGUGCACUAUAGCCAGGCUGGCUUGAACCUAAAGAAAAUCACCUCUCCUCUCCGGGUCUGUUAACUCAUCUGUGAAGAGAAGAUAACAGUUCCAUGUUUCAUUGCUGUGUAGAUGAGAUGUAUCUUCCACAUUUAGUAAUUGCUCAAUAAAAUUUUAUUGCUUGCUAUCA